UGCCGCUGCUGGAGGGGGAGGAGAGCUCAUUUUAUAAACAAGCCAAAAGGAGUCUGAUUCUUUUUCCGCCACACGAAGGCUGUUUAUCAUUCAAUUCUGUAAGAAUAAACAAGUCGUAAUGUUUUGAGUGCAUCAGAAGGUAAAUAAAACCAAACCAUAUUACAGAAUAAAUCGGCGGAAAGCCGCCUCCCCGUCUUUCAGAGCAAUUAGCUGGGUGAUUUGUUAUUGUUGCGCCUUGAGUUUUACAUUGGAAAAUCAAAUUUGGAAAUUAGGCUGGGGACGGCGAGAGGCAUUUGCCGCGUUUAUUACCAAUUACCUCUCGAAGGCUGUGUUUACUCAUAAAAUUAUCCCAGUUCCAGCAUGGCGAGCGAAAUUCCUGAUCCGGAAAGUUUUGUUUAAAAUUCUAACCCGGGGACGAAAUUCACUAGUCGGCUCUUACAUUAUGCUGUAGGGCCCCGGCGAUAAGAAAACGUGGCGUCCGGGAGAAUGACUGGUAGCUCUGUGGCCCGUCGAGUCCUUUGCUGCUCACAAAGCGUGAAUGGGGCAUUUGCGCUGGGAGACGGUUCGUUUGAGGUCAGCUUGCAGGCUUAGGUAUUCAGAGCCUCUGUGUUUUGACGUCCUAAUUGUCAACCUCAAAUUAAAGUCGUUGGCAUUUUAGAAACCGCUCUUACGUUUUAUUAUCAUGAUGUUCUGGGCACGGGACCAUAAAUAUUUAUGUGCUUAAAAGGAAUUAUGUCUCAUUUCCGGCUCUAAAGGGUAGAUAUGGAGAAGAGACAAAGGAAGGGGGGAGCAAAGGUCACAUGAAGAGCAGGUUGCUUCGUCCUCUUCUGGGUUCUCAGGGAGAGUUGAGGAAACACACUGCUAAUGGAUCCUGAAGCUCCACCUUCUGCAGGGCAAGGUCUUUCAGAGGUCCUGGAGCCCAGCUGUUUAGCCAGAGUGGCUGCCCAGCUGAGCCCGAGAGAAGCUGUCUCUGCUGACACCAUGCUGGGAUUAAGGAUGCUCGCACUGCGCCUGGCUUUCGGUGGGGGCUGCUGGGAAGUAGGACUUCCGGUCCUCUGGCUGGUGCGUCAGGCACGUUACCAACUGCGCCAUCUCUGCAGGCCCUUCCAUUUCUCUUCCCUCUGUAAAGAAUUAAAGCGGAGUCACUUGAUGUCAAGGCCAUCUCAGUCAUACAUUGGUACUGAAGCGGAGACCACGCUCAGACCCGCGGUGACGAAGACAUCGCCACUGUGUUUUUCAGUCUCUGUCCUAGAAAGGUACAGGAAGCUACCUCAACAUGGAGCUGGGUGUGACGAUGGGACAAUGAGUUAUGAACGGAUGCGCCAGAAUCUCGACGCGUGCUCCUGUUCUGACUGGGGUGGACAUCUUUGAACGAUGCAACGUUCAGCACAGGGCCAGCAACGGCCUACCACGACACACCAACCCCACGGGAUCUCAAAAUUCUUUGUCAUGGCAGCGUAAUUGAAUCUGUCCUCAGGAACACGGAUAUUGUGGAUGCAAGACAGGAGCUCGUUUUAUUAAUUUAGAUGGGAUGUUAUGUAAAUGACGACCCAAACUUAUAAAGGUCUCGCUGGGAUAUUUCCAGCAUUCCAGUGCGUUCGAGAGGCUUCUACAGAGCCCAGUCUGAAAAUUUAAGGCUGUUGAUCUAUACCUACAUUACUUCUUUUUUCUUGUAAAUGACAUUUUUAGAUACACCUGAAUAUGGCUGCCCUUUUGUUUAAAAUUCUCUUUAAAAAUCCAGUUAUGCUCAGGUCCAGGAAAUUGCCGACUGCUCCCAAAUUGAUUGGGUCAAUAAAAAUCUAAUUUCCUGGCUGGCUGCAUCAGACUGUUUCAUCUAGAAAAACGCUUUUGUGCUUAGAACUUCAGUAAAAUGAGAAGAAAUUGAUAAAGAUUGGAUAGAUAACCGCAUUCUUGAGUAAAAUGUUUCCAGGCAAAAUUAGCAUCUACUUCUAACUUUCCUUCUCAGGGGCUGGGACAGCUAAGUUACUCUAUGUCUGUUUCCGGCUACUGCCAACAGAGACCCUGUGAUGCAACCUAGCCUAUGUAUGACAUCACUAGAUUUCAGGGCAGAGGCCUGUGCAGCAGCGGCCCUGAUCCUCCAGUCGCAGCCUCCAGUUCUAAACCAAUCAGAGAGGAGAGUAAUUGGGAGAAACAGAAAAGAGAUUUGCCCAGCAUGGCCACACUUGGGAGAGGAGAGAUGAACUGGUCUAGUUCAAGUCUGUCUUCCAGUUACAGAGGCCACCCGGAAGAUGUUCUAAUUAUCAAGUGUCUGCUGGCCUCCUCCACAGGAAAGCAGACAGGAGAAGAGCCAGGGAUGUUUGGAAAAAUUUCCCAGGGGGAAAUGCUCAGUGGCUUGCUAUGCAUCUCGUAAUGGCGGCUCUGUGAGUCAGCCGAGUAUCUCUGAGGAGGCUAUGGGAGCCUAGUCAAUCUCAAGAGUUGACCUUACUCUGCGUUGACCGAGUAGCUCUGUGUCUAUGGAGUGGCUUUGUCCGAUCGCUUUUCCAAGUGCUUAAGGAAGUGGUUGGUUUUAGGUUGGUCCAAAAUGGUGUUGGCCCAAACAACACCCCCCACGCCUUUCACAUGAGGCUUUAUUUGCUGCCUGUCGGAUCCAAAGCUGGAGGCAGGAUACUGGGAGAGAACAAAUGGUCCUUAAAUCUUCAACUAGAAGCACAUCCAUGAUGUACCUGCUGGCUGAAACACAGAGUAACUCAGGUUCAUGGGCUGGAGGAGACCGUUGCUCAUAAGAGCGGUUACAAGAGGCAUAGAAACAGAAAGUGUUAGGAAAGACGGACAGGCUUUAAAGCUCAACCUACAGUAGAAGAUGCUCUUUCUCUUUCUGGCCUUGGAGACGAUUUACCAAAGUUCAGCAGAAACAACAGUGACCCACUUUUCACUGGAAACAACUGAAUCAAAUUCGAUGGAAAAUACGUCAUCGGAAAAAGUGCACUGUCUUUCAGUGAACAUAGGGUUAAAGAAUUCAACGUAAUAGAAAAGUGUGAAGCACUGAUUUCUGACUCAGGCCUGUGAAGGUCAUCGAAGACCCCACAGAAACCCCACAGAUGUUCUGGAGUAGCUGCAUAGAGUUGGGGAAUUAUCUGUGAAAUAUUCUACCUAUGGGAUAAUAUACCAGGAAACCUAGUAUGUUAGAAACAAAUACGGAUGUGCCAGAAUUACGAAAAGUGACUUAUAUCUCAACUACUUACAGCCUGCAAAUGAACUUGAGGCACAGAGGUAUGGAGCAAAGCACUUGCAGCUUUUAUAGUUAUAGACAGGGUCAUAAAACACCAGCUCGUGGUACAGGUUGGUCUAGUUAUAAUCCAGUAUCAUGCAGAUAAAUGUCUUCCUGCGUGCUGCAAGCCCAUCACUACCAUGGUUUGCCACCUCCCAUUUGGAGAUGUGAUGUCACAGGUUUAAAUCUUAGGACCUUUGUCACUGUAGCACCGGGAUCAAGUGGCCUUCUUAAUGUAUGUGAACCACAUUCAUGCAGUUUUGCAAAGGACCUCCGUUUUGAUUGGACAAUGAGUCUGAAAACCACAAUAAUCCUGGUUUCUAGGACUAAAGUAGUUUGUUUCUCUAGACUCCUCAGUCCCUGUUGGGGGCUUCCAGCAAUGGGCAGCCGAGAGAGAUGGUUACCAAUUACCCAGCAUUCUGUAACACUACUCCCUGGUUACCACUAGCGAUGGCCAACUAUGAACCAAAAAAGUCCUUUUCCCUUCUCCCUUCUUUCCCCAUAAUGUUCUGGUCUGUAAGCAGACACUGGGCUCUGAUUCGUACAGCAGAGCACUCCACCCUCCAGGUUUUUCUCCCAAAUAAAAGCCCCUCGUGGAGUUCUUUAUCCUCUUGUCUGUCUUCCCAAUCUGCCGUUCUUCUGCCCAACCUCAACAUUCUGACUCACAUGGCAGCAAAGCGAACAAACCUCUGCCUUCUGGCUGCAGAGGCUGGAGGACAGAUGCCCUCCUGGCUUCUUCUGAGGAACUCCUUUGAAGCUCUUUGUAAAUGUAGCAUUUUUUUCAUCAAGUUUUUCUUCUUCAGACUCUUCUGUCUUCCCUCCUUCCGACUCUUCUGACAUGAUAAAGGGAUACCAGCAGACCUCUCUCCAAUCCAACUCCACCAUCAUUCCCUUGUUCAUUCCCUCGUUCCCAAUCCCUAUUGAAAAACUUAUAGAUCCUAUGUCUAUGCAUGUCCUAUGAGAUUUACAUCCUGAAUUAAAAUAUUUUCUUCAUCAUCUCCACACAAUGAACAUGUUUUACACACACACACACACACACACAUGCACGCACAUACACACAGGCAUACAAACACAUACACACAGAUACACAUGUACAUAUACAUACCACACACAUGGAUACACUCACAGGCACACACAUACACAUGGCUAGACACACAUGCUCACACAUACACAGGCACACACACCAUAUACACACACACAAGACAUGCACACACCACAUAUACACACAGAUAAAGAGGCACACACACGCACACACACAUAUACAUACACACACACAUGCACACACAUACAGGCACACAAACACAUACACAGGGGUAUACAUGCACACACACACACACACACACACACACACACACACACACAAGAUCUAUGUUUUAUUGAUUUACUAAAUCGAAUCCCCUACUGCAGUCUACACACAGUGUUGAAGGAGAUAACCGAAUGCAUCAGAACCUCAGCCUCUGAUCCUUCAGAGUAUCCAUUGUCCAUCUCUUGGUUUCUCUUACACACGCAGUAGGUUUUUUAGUUCGAUUUUCCACACUAAUUCAAGAUGGUUGCUAACUUCCCUCGGUAUAUUUUAAUUCUUAACUUGAACCUUAACUUCCAAGUUUUAUCUUGACCUUGGAUCUUAGCCGUUAGCCAGAGGUACAUCAUUCUGUAAAGUUCCUCCAUUUUGGUCGAAUCGUGAAUUCUAGAAAUUACAGUAAUUUGCUUUGCAGAAGGAGAGUAUUUAUUAGUCUCUUGACUUCCCAACCUCUCGACCCUCAAUCCCGAGAGCUGGCUAUCUACCCACUUUGUAUCCAAAUAGGAAAGUUUCAACAGCCUUGCCUCUUCCGGCUUUCUCUUCAGUCCCAGCAGCCUGUGCGCAGACAGCCACCUCUGUUCUCUUGACCCAGGUGAAAUCUGUGCUCCCGCAGAGUCCCCAGUUUCCUCUUGUCUUCUUUCAGCUAACCACCCAAGGCUUGUUCCCUCACCACCUGAAGUCCCUGCUUAAGGAGCAGCCACACCCCCUCAGUACUCGAACUCAAGCAUUUCUUGAAUUUUUGUUCCUAUCUGGUAGAGCUAAACACCAGAGAUUUGCUAUCUGCCUGGACUAUAGCUUUGUUUUUGUUUUUUUUAAAACACAUUUUUCUAGGAUUUCUGCACUCUUGACUUUCACUUCUUAAUUCACCCUUCGGUGUUUCAAGCUGCAAGAUGACAUCUACUCAGUAUGUGUGGUUUCCUUUUUUUUUUUUUUUUUUAGCAUCUCUCUACUCUCUCCAUCCAGUUCAUCAACGGGGAACACUUCCUGAUUCAGUAUUCCAGAAGGGGAGAGAAACGAUCAACGGAUGACCACGUGGUCUGUCUUAUAAGGGAAGUUUAAAGUCUCCCGAGUGGAAGGCUGGUAGCCUGAGGCUAGUUCCACAUCCUAAGUUCCUACAGCCAACAGCAGCCUCAGUGUGGGUCUACUGAAACUUAAACUGCGAGAGUUUCAGCCAAUCACAGACAGCCACCUCAUCACCCCAGGCCCAUCACACCACCCUCAGACGCUCAGCUGCAGCCAAUCAAGUGGCAUCCGACAGAAGGUCGCCAUUCACACUCUCCCAACCUCUUCUGUUUCUCAGGGCUGCCUGAUUCAUGAGUCAUCUUCUGUGCAAAUAAACCCUGAAAUGUAAUACCCUGAA